AUAAAAAAUUGAUACCCAAUUUUUUUCAAAGGAGUUUCAUCAUGUGACUGUAUGACCUUUGAAACUAUCUUGCACUAACCAUCGUUUUAACCCUUGUUCAACUUCCAUGGUAACCGAAUCGAUUUUCCAUCAUUCUAACCUAUAUUGAGUUUCUCCUCUCGGAUUGAUUUUUCUUCCCCAAAUAAUUUCCCCCCAAAUCGCUUUUCCCCAAUCCAAAUAGAUUGUCUCUUCUGCUUUUUCGUUUUGAAGUGGUUCCCUCCGCCGUAUCGUUUUGGGGUUCGCUACCCAAAUUGUUUUCCCUUCCACAAAUCGUUCUAUUUCUAUAUCAAUAUCUCUAAAAAUUUAUGGUUCUCCUCUUUUGUUAUAUACUUUGUCCCUGAUUCGAUGUUAGAACAAUGAUUGAAGUAAGAUUGGAUUUCAGGAACUGUUUAGGCACUCUGGUUUUUCUGCGUUCUUUAUGAUAACUUUACUUUGUUCAGAAGGAUUGAGUGAAGUUGCCUCGAAACGAUCAAUGUUACAAGGAUGGUGUUAAUCACUUUCUAAAUAUUGGAUUCACCAAAAAAAUAGUUGAAGAAAACAAGAUUUUGUGUCCUUAUGUUUUAUGUUGCAAUGAUAGUUGGGAAAAAAAGAUGGAAAAUAUGACCAAUUAUGAAGCAAAGUAUUUUUAAAGGAUACUCAGAGUGGAUUUUACCAUGAGAUGGAAGACUUUUUUAUAUAGAUGUAUUUUGUAAGCUUGUAUUAAGCAUUCAACUUUCAAAUAGUUGUCUUUUAUCAUUUUAGUAGUUAGUCUCAUAUUUUAAAGUAUUAAAUUUUACUAAAUAAUAUUAGACAAUUUACUUACUAUAUUACUUUUAUUUGAAUUAAUUUAUUUGAAUUAAUGUGUGAA